rnacentral:rRNA from 1 species
GCAGUCGAGCGGACAGAUGGGAGCUUGCUCCCUGAUGUUAGCGGCGGACGGGUGAGUAACACGUGGGUAACCUGCCUGUAAGACUGGGAUAACUCCGGGAAACCGGGGCUAAUACCGGAUGGUUGUUUGAACCGCAUGGUUCAAACAUAAAAGGUGGCUUCGGCUACCACUUACAGAUGGACCCGCGGCGCAUUAGCUAGUUGGUGAGGUAACGGCUCACCAAGGCAACGAUGCGUAGCCGACCUGAGAGGGUGAUCGGCCACACUGGGACUGAGACACGGCCCAGACUCCUACGGGAGGCAGCAGUAGGGAAUCUUCCGCAAUGGACGAAAGUCUGACGGAGCAACGCCGCGUGAGUGAUGAAGGUUUUCGGAUCGUAAAGCUCUGUUGUUAGGGAAGAACAAGUACCGUUCGAAUAGGGCGGUACCUUGACGGUACCUAACCAGAAAGCCACGGCUAACUACGUGCCAGCAGCCGCGGUAAUACGUAGGUGGCAAGCGUUGUCCGGAAUUAUUGGGCGUAAAGGGCUCGCAGGCGGUUUCUUAAGUCUGAUGUGAAAGCCCCCGGCUCAACCGGGGAGGGUCAUUGGAAA